AGAGAAAACAUUACACAUGUUCUGUGCUCUUUCCACUAAUCUGCUUGGCUUCUCGCUUUCACGGGCCUCUCACUUCUUUUUGGAUCUCUCACUCGGUAGGCGUCUUCAAAAAAAAAAGGUGGGGUUAGCGAGUUACUGAUCGCGUGACAAUACUGUACAUGCUCUAAUAAAGCAAAUAAUGUUGCUUCAUUUUAAAAUGCAUACUAAAUGUUACACUUUUUUCUUGAUAAUAAUUAUUUUUGCGGUUUUAUAAAUAUUGUAAGAUACACAUAAUCGAAUCUGUUAGUCUCGAUAAGGAGAGACGCAUAUGCCAAACCCGGGAUGAACGGAAAAUUAAAAAAAAAGCCGUCCGACAGGGAACGUAUUAAUCGCAUUUCCAUUGAUUACAUCAUAACAAUAGAAACAACAUAUCGUAUCGUCGCUUCGAGAGAAGUGAAAUCAAGCGUAUCGCUGGCGGAUGCCGAUCCCGGCAGGGACAAGUCAAAGGAGACAGCCUAUGUGGAUAGUAAUACCGACCACAAUGCCGUGCCGAACUCAAUUCUCAGGAUCGAUGAUGAAUUUGUAAAUUAUGAUGCUAAAAUCAUGGAAAAUUUUGAAAUUCGAGUACUUUUAUGUCGCUACUUGAAGCAAGAGUUCCAUACUGCGAUUCCGAAUCCGCGUACGAUUUUUAGCAAUAAUAUUAAUCGAUGAAAGGUUUCGCGAUACCCGAUACGAUUGCGAUAGGUGAUACGAUACACCGAUAACCUUGUAAAAUCAGAACAUAUUGUAAACGCUGACCAAACGAUAUCGCUCUAUAAUUAUAUAAAACUCUGAAUACUGAGAUAAUAGAAGCUAGACUGCUUGGAAGAAUACCGCUCGCGUAACUUGAUUAAAAUAAACGUCUCAAUUUACAUAACAUUAUUGGUACAUUUUACUCAAUUCACGUACCAUUGUCUAGUCU